UACGUAGGGGGCAAGCGUUGUCCGGAUUUAUUGGGCGUAAAGAGCGUGUAGGCGGCCAGGUAGGUCUGCUGUGAAAACUCGAGGCUUAACCUCGAGCUGUCGGCGGAAACCAUCUGGCUAGAGUCCGGAAGAGGAGAAUGGAAUUCCCGGUGUAGCGGUGAAAUGCGUAGAGAUCGUAAGGAAGACCAGUGGCGAAGGCGGGUCUCUGGACAGUUCCUGACACUGAGGCACGAAGGCCAGGGGAGCAAACGGG
rnacentral:rRNA from 1 species